CCUACGGGGGGCAGCAGUGGGGAAUAUUGGACAAUGGGGGGAACCCUGAUCCAGCCAUGCCGCGUGUGUGAAGAAGGCCCUCGGGUUGUAAAGCACUUUCAGUGAGGAAGAACGCCUGGUGGUUAAUACCCAUCAGGAAAGACAUCACUCACAGAAGAAGCACCGGCUAACUCCGUGCCAGCAGCCGCGGUAAUACGGAGGGUGCGAGCGUUAAUCGGAAUUACUGGGCGUAAAGCGCGCGUAGGUGGCUUGAUAAGCCGGUUGUGAAAGCCCCGGGCUCAACCUGGGAACGGCAUCCGGAACUGUCAAGCUAGAGUGCAGGAGAGGAAGGUAGAAUUCCCGGUGUAGCGGUGAAAUGCGUAGAGAUCGGGAGGAAUACCAGUGGCGAAGGUGGCCUUCUGGACUGACACUGACACUGAGGUGCGAAAGCGUGGGUAGCAAACAGGAUUAGAUACCCGUGUAGUC
rnacentral:rRNA from 1 species